rnacentral:lncRNA from 1 species
UCUCAGAACAAUAUCUUUUGGAGAUUCAAUAAAAAGAUUGAAAGAAAAAGAUUGCUCUGACAGAAAAAAAGAAUAAAUGGUUCAUUUAUGGCACCUUUUAAAAUCUGUUUUCAGAAAUUGCAUAUGCAAUAGAAAUUUCGAAGUACUGUCCCAAACCAGAAGAGGUUUGCUCCACUAAUAGCAGAAGUAUGUUGGAAUUCUGUGAGUCAGGCUUUAUGCAAUUUCUAGCGAAAUCUGUUCCAUAUCUGAAAGGCGAAAUGGAUGUACCUUUAACCCCUCCAUGCAGACAACAAAGAUCAUGGGUUAAUUUUCUGUGCACAGGACUUCAAGAAGAACCUAUUCCUCUUUCUGGUAACAGUAUUUUGAUUACAGAGUCCUCUAGGAAAUACUUAGAAUGUUUGGCAUGGCAAUCAGAGAAGUAUCGG